AGAACUUAGAAGAGAGAAGUAGUAUAAGAGUUUACAAAGAAAUUUAUAAAAGAUAAUAUAUUAAAUAAAAUUUAAGUAGUGUGAAUAAUAAACGUAAAUUAUCGUUUCUUUGUUCACAGAGAAACAUAUUUUCGUUUAUCACCUCACAUAAUCAAUUCGAGAUAUUAUAAAACGACAAUUUUUGGUUUAUAAUCGAAAAAAAACUACAAUUCGCAUUUAAAUGUGUGGCAUCACCGAGCGACAGAAAGACAAACGUGAUUGCCAUAACCUCUACCACAACUGAGGACAAUGAAAAAUAUAUGUUGCCAGAAAAUGAAAAAUUUGCAAGUAAUCACAGCGAACUAAUAAAAACAGAAAGUUAUAAGAGAAUAAAAAAAAGCUUCAAUCAAAGAGGCCAAGAAAAAAAAUAUGGAUUAAAUGCACACAGGAAAUGGACAGUACGUAUUUGGAUGAAAAUGGCAAUUUAAUGUUUAAUGAUCUAUACCUAGAAGAAAUAGUAGAAACAAACAUAGUAGAACCCGUACAGAAGAAAGAAUACCAAAUAGAUUUAAAGUGUAUAUCGGAAAAAUUCAUGAUUGAAAAAUUUGGAUGUAAACACUCAAAUGUAGAACAAUGGUUGGAGACAUUUGAAAAAGAAUGUCAAAGAAUCGAAAUUAAAGAAGAUAACACAAAAAUUGAAAUUUUAAGAUUAUUCCUUGACAGGGCAUGUUUAGACUGGCAUUCAGCAACACUAACAGCGCUGACAAUAGAGGCUGGUUGGAACGAAUGGAAACAGAGAUUCUUAUGAUGAUGCUUAUGGCAACAGGAUUACCAGAGUUCAUAAGAGAUAAAAUAGAUAGAUAAAAUUUUCAUAGCUCAACAGAAUUAUUACAAGAAAUAAAAAAAUGUGAAAAUUUAGUAAGUAAAAACAGUUUUACAAAAAAGAAAGAGAAAAUACAAGAUAAUAAGAAGAAAUUUGAAGAAAAGAAACCAUGUAAGAAUUGUGAAAAACUAAACAAAGGCAUUAGAUAUCAUUCAAAGGGCUCCUGUUGGUUUAAAAAGGAAAAUAGAAAGGAAACCAGAAUAAACUGAAGCAAUUCAAUGAUAGAAGUGGACCUAUGUAAGGAACAAAAAAAACGAAUAAUCGUUUGAUCGAAGUCCAUUGAUCAAAGUGAAGAUAAUAUUAGAAGAGAAGUUAGAGGUAAACGGAACAUAUGACCCAGGUUCCCAAAUCUCUCUAAUAAAUUCGAGACUAGUCAAAAUCAAAAAAAAAAGAGACAAAAGAUAAAAAUAAAAUAUUUUUAAAGACGGUCGAUGGUGUGACACAAAAAAAAAGUUUAGUAACCAUUAAGGUAAAAAUUUUCGGUAAAGAGGAAUACGUUGAUGUAUUUAUUGUAGAAAGAAAUAACUUUGACGAUUUCAUUAUUGGGUUAGAUAUGGUAAAGAAAUUUAAACUAAUUCAGGAUGAAAACUUACAGAUAUCUCAAAAGAAAGAAACACAAACAAAAAAAAAUAUAAAUACAUGGGAUAGAAAUGAAGAAAUAAAAGAAGUUACAGUAAAUUUUAACAAACAUGUGAAUGAAGACAAAUUUAGAUUGGAUCUGAAUCAGACACUAGUAAACAAAAUAAGAUGCAGGAUAAAUGAGAAAGAAAAAAAAAGAGCUUGGACAACGAUCGCUAAAGAAUGUUUGGAUAAAUAUAAUGAAACAGAACAUACAGUAACCGGCUUUACGCCUAAGUAUUUGUUAGAUGGCACAAACACUAGCAUUUUACCCGAAGAAAUAAAAAGAAGAAACGGUAAAGAAAAUUGGAUAAGAGAUAAAGAACUAGCUCUAGAAAGAACAAAAAAAUCGCACAAAUAUAACAAAAAGAUAUUUAACAAGAAUAGAAAGAAUCACCGGUUUAACACAGGAGAUCUGGUGUAUAUAGAAGAUGUCAAUAGGUUGAGUAGAAAUAAAUUAGAGGAAUUGAGAAUUGGUCCUUUCCAAAUAGUAAAAAAAAUAUCAGAAUCAAUAAACAAAAUAAAAACAGGAAAACGAAAACAAGAAAUUAGAUUCUUCCACAUAACAAAAUUACUUCCAAUAUCAGAAGAUGGAGACGAGGACUAAAAAUUGUAGGAAUUUUAUCCUGCGGGGGGGUGGAGGAGAUUUAAAGAAAGUAUAUUUUCUUCAGAUCAAUUUAGAAAAGCAAAUAUGAUAGACGUACUGCCAGAAAGAGGUGAACAAGAAACAGCCCUAUCGGAAAGUUCUUUGAGAGAUGCUACGGAAACUAAAUAUGCACUUGUAUAAAUUCAACCCAUCGAGAAUAAUUACGAACUUACACCCAUUUAAAAAUUUUACAGUGGUCAAAGUGUUUUUAUAACUGGUGGAACAGGGUUCAUAGGAAAGUUAUUCAUCGAGAAAUUGUUAAGAGAAUGUCCCGAUAUCACUUGCAUUUAUCUUUUGAUACGUACAAAAAAAGGAAAAAGUGUGCAUCAAGGCAUGAAAGAACUAAUUGAAAAUUCUUUAUUUUCCACUUUGAGAGAGAAACAACCAACAUUCCAGAAUCGUAUAGUCCCAAUCAGGGGCGAUUGUACCUUGCCGAAUCUCGAUAUCUCAAUGGUCGACAGAGCUACGCGAGGUCUCAAUUAUUUUUCAUGUCGCCGCAACCGUUAAGUUCAACGAGAAAAUAAAAUUGGCGACAGAAAUCAACGUUCGAAGUGUAAAGGAUAUAAUAAAUUUGUCCAAAGAAAUGUCAAACCGAAGAGUGCUGUGCAGGUAUCAGCGGCUUAUUCCAAUUGUUUUCAUAUUCCACCUGAAGAGAAAUUUUAUGACCCACCGAUAGAUCCCGAUAAGUUGAUAAAUUUGGUGAACAUUAUAAAUGAAAAAUUGCUCGACGAUAUUACCCCACAAUUACUCGGAAUAUGGUCAAAUACUUAUGUUUAUACGAAAACAGCCGCAUAGAAUUUUAUAAAAAAGCAUGCUGACUCUAUACCAAUUGGAAUAUUUCGUCCAGGAAUUGUGAUAUCCACUUAUCGAGAACCUAUUCAAGGAUGGAUCGACAACGUGUACGGAUCAUAAAAAAUGUUUUUAUGGGAUUAAUGCGAAUUCACUACUGUGAUAAAUCGAAAAAUGCGGACAUGGUACCUGGUGAUUUGACCGCC